GGGCCCGCACGAGCAGCGGAGCGUUGUGGUUUAAUUCGAUGCUACACGAGAACCUUACCAGGGCUUGACAUCCCUGACCGCGUAUGAAGUACGUUUUCACCUCGGGUGACAGGGAGACAGGUGGUGCAUGGUUGUCGUCAGCUCGUGUCGUGAGAUGUUGGGUUAAGUCCCGCAACGAGCGCAACCCCUGUGGUUAGUUGCCAGCAAGUAGCGUUGGGCACUCUAGCCAGACUGCCGGUGAUAAAUCGGAGGAAGGUGGGGACGACGUCAAAUCAUCAUGCCCUUUAUGUCCUGGGCUACACACGUACUACAAUGGCCGUUACAACGGGAAGCGAAGGAGCAAUCCGGAGCAAAUCCCUUAAAGGCGGUCCCAGUUCAGAUUGUGGGCUGAAACUCGCCCACAUGAAGGCGGAAUUGCUAGUAAUUGCAGAUCAGCAUGCUGCAGCGAAUACGUUCCCGGGCCUU
rnacentral:rRNA from 1 species